CACCUCUUCCCAUUCCGAACAGAGAAGUUAAGCCUCACCACGCCGAUGGUACUGCGAAAGUGGGAGAGUAGGUAACCGCCCCCU
rnacentral:rRNA from 1 species